UCAGCUUCUUGGUGUCAAUAAAAAUUUGAAAAAGAAAAAAUCUGUUCUUAUCAGUUUAAUAUCUGAUACGUGCCCUACCCGGGCAUUAUAUAUUACAUUGAUUUUUGGUCCUGGGAGAUGGAAUAGGGGCUUGCUCCGUCCACUCCACGCAUCGACCCGGUAUUGCAGUACUUCUGGGAACGGUGCACCCUCC